rnacentral:SRP_RNA from 1 species
GCCGGGAGUCGUGGCGUGCUUCUGUAAUCCAGCUACUUGGAGGCCGGGUGCAAUGGAUGUUUAUUCUUAAACAGACUUGUUCCUUA